rnacentral:rRNA from 1 species
GGAUUCGUCGGUUGGUCGGGCUUCACUGUCCGCACUGACCUGACGGGUUCCUACCUUCUGAAUAACCAGCAUGCUAUUAAGUUAGUGCGUUGGGGAAGCAGAGCUAUUACCUUUUGAAAAAUUAGAGUGCUUAAAGCAGGCUUGUGCUUGAAUAGAUUAGCAUGGAAUAAUAAAAUAGGACGGCAUGGUUCUAUUUUGUUGGUUUCUAGGAUCACCGUAAUG